rnacentral:rRNA from 1 species
AACGAACGCUGGCGGCAUGCCUAACACAUGCAAGUCGAACGAGACCUUCGGGUCUAGUGGCGCACGGGUGCGUAACGCGUGGGAACCUGCCCUUAGGUUCGGAAUAACUCCCGGAAGGGGGUCUUAUAACCGGUAAAUGUUUCCGGCCCAAAGAUUUAUCGCCUUUGGAUGGGCCCGCGUUGGAUUAGCUAGUUGGUAGGGUAAAAGCCUACCAAGGCGACGAUCCAUAGCUGGUCUGAGAGGAUGAUCAGCCACACUGGGACUGAGACACGGCCCAGACUCCUACGGGAGGCAGCAGUGGGGAAUAUUGGACAAUGGGCGAAAGCCUGAUCCAGCAAUGCCGCGUGAGUGAUGAAGGCCUUAGGGUUGUAAAGCUCUUUUACCCGGGAUGAUAAUGACAGUACCGGGAGAAUAAGCUCCGGCUAACUCCGUG